AUGCUCAAGAUUUUCCAAGCCAGGCUUCAGCAAUACGUGAACCGUGAAAUUCCAUAUGUUCAAGCUGGUUUUAGAAAAGGCAGAAGAAGCAGAGAUCAAAUUGCCAACAUCCGCUGGAUCAUGGAAAAAGCAAGAGAGUGCCAGAAAAACAUUUAUUUCUGCUUUAUUGACUAUGCCAAAGCCUUUGACUAUGUGGAUCACAAUAAACUGUGGAAAAUUCUGAAAGAGAUGGGAAUACCAGACCACCUGAUCUGCCUCUUGAGAAACCUAUAUGCAGGUCAGGAAGCAACAGUUAGAACUGGACAUGGAACAAGAGACUUGUUCCAAAUAGGAAAAGGAGUGCGUCAAGGCUGUAUACUGUCACCCUGCUUAUUUAACUUCUAUGCAGAGUACAUCAUGAGAAACGCUGGGCUGGAAGAAGCACAAGCUGGAAUCAAGAUUGCCAGGAGAAAUAUCAAUAAUCUCAGAUAUGCAGAUGACACCACCCUUAUGGCAGAAAGUGAAGAGGAACUAAACAGCCUCUUGAUGGAAGUGAAAGAGGAGAGUGAAAAGUUUGGCUUAAAUCUCAAGAUUCAGAAAACAAAGAUCAUGGCAUCUGGUCCCAUCACUUCAUGGGAAACAGAUAGGGAAACAGUGGAAAUACUGUCAGACUUUAUUUUGGAGGGCUCCAAAAUCACUGCAUAUGGUGACUGCAGCUAUGAAAUUAAAAGAUGCUUACUCCUUGGAAGGAAAGUUAUGACCAACCUAGAUAGCUUAUUAAAAAGCAGAGACAUUACUUUGCCAACUAAGGUCUGUCUAGUCAAGGCUAUGAUUUUUCCAGUGGUCAUGUCUGGAUGUGAGAGUUGGACUGUGAAGAAAGCUGAGCACCGAAGAAUUGAUGCUUUUGAACUGUGGUGUUGGAGAAGACUCUUGAGAGUCCCUUGGACUACAAGGAGAUCCAACCAGUCUAUUCUAAAGGAGAUCAGUCUUGGGUGUUCAUUGGAAGGACUGAGGCUGAGGCUGAAACUCCAAUACUUUGGUUUCCUGAUGCGAAGAGUUGACUCAGUGGAAAAGACCCUGAUGCUGGGAGGGAUUGGAGGCAGGAGGAGAAGGGGACAACAAAGGAUGAGAUGGCUGGAUGGCAUCACUGAGUUGAUGGAUAUGAGUUUGAGUGAACUCCCGGGGUUGGUGGUGUACAGGGAGGCCUUGCCUGCUGUGAUUCGUGGGGUCGCAAAGAGUCGGACAGGACUGAGGACUGAAUUGAAUGAGAAGGAUAAACAGAGGCCAAGAAGAUGA
rnacentral:lncRNA from 1 species